GUGUAAUACCUUCCAUGCUGAUGGAUUUAUGUAUACCUGUUUCAAGUAAGACUCUUCAGUCCAGAGGAACUCUGAUAGACAAUUUGGCCUGGUCAUUGGAUCAGGGAAUACCUUCUAUUUGCUGUCACAGUCAGCAUAGCCUAACUUUGCACAUGUGUGAGAGGGGUGCCAUAUAGACUGCUGCAUGACCCUGAAAACAACCCAGUGAGACAACUUAGACAGGAGCAACGAAACAGAGAAAUUCAAACUCAGAGACAAAGAAUCAGGAAGAAACAAAGAUAGAGAGAAAGACAGAGAGGAACACAGAAAUGGUGGCAGAAACAAAAAAAGGCAGAGAAACAGAGAGCAAUGGAAAUACAGAGAGCAAUGGAAAUACAGAGAGAAACUAAAAGAGACAAAAGCAGAAAAGUUGGCCACUGAGUGUGAUUUUUUUCAUGACAACUCAUGAAAUCAGUUUUCAAUGGGAUGUGGGAGGGGAGGGUGGAAUAAGCCUUGCUAUUCCAAUAAAGGCAUAUAUCCUUUAAAUAAUGAAAGAAAUAUAACUGCACAAACUUCAU